rnacentral:rRNA from 1 species
GAGUUUGAUCCUGGCUCAGAUUGAACGCUGGCGGUAUGCUUAACACAUGCAAGUCGAACGGUAGCAGGCCUUCGGGCGCUGACGAGUGGCGGACGGGUGAGUAACGCGUAGGAAUCUGCCUCAUAGUGGGGGACAACGUGGGGAAACCCACGCUAAUACCGCAUACGCUCCCUAUUUGAAAGAAUGGGAGGAAAGCGGGGGCUCUUCGGACCUCGCGCUAUGAGAUGAGCCUGCGUUAGAUUAGCUAGUUGGUAGGGUAAAGGCCUACCAAGGCGACGAUCUAUAGCUGGUCUGAGAGGACGAUCAGCCACACUGGGACUGAGACACGGCCCAUACUCCUACGGGAGGCAGCAGUGGGGAAUAUUGGACAAUGGGCGCAAGCCUGAUCCAGCAAUACCGCGUGUGUGAAGAAGGCCUUAGGGUUGUAAAGCACUUUCAAUUGGGAGGAAAACCUGCCGGUCAAUACCCGGUAGCUUGACAUUACCUUUAGAAGAAGCACCGGCUAACUCCGUGCCAGCAGCCGCGGUAAUACGGAGGGUGCGAGCGUUAAUCGGAAUUACUGGGCGUAAAGCGUGCGUAGGCGGUUCGUUAAGUCAGAUGUGAAAGCCCUGGGCUCAACCUGGGAACGGCAUUUGAAACUGGCGGACU